GACGAACGCUGGCGGCGUGCUUAACACAUGCAAGUCGAACGGAAAGGCCCUGCUUUUGUGGGGUGCUCGAGUGGCGAACGGGUGAGUAACACGUGAGUAACCUGCCCUUGACUUUGGGAUAACUUCAGGAAACUGGGGCUAAUACCGGAUAGGAGCUCCUGCUGCAUGGUGGGGGUUGGAAAGUUUCGGCGGUUGGGGAUGGACUCGCGGCUUAUGAGCUUGUUGGUGGGGUAGUGGCUUACCAAGGCUUUGACGGGUAGCCGGCCGGAGAGGGUGACCGGCCACAUUGGGACUGCGAUACGGCCCAGACUCCUACAGGAGGCAGCAGUGGGGAAUAUUGCACAAUGGGCGGAAGCCUGAUGCAGCAACGCCGCGUGCGGGAUGACGGCCUUCGGGUUGUAAACCGCUUUCGCCUGUGACGAAGCGUGAGUGACGGUAAUGGGUAAAGAAGCACCGGCUAACUACGUG
rnacentral:rRNA from 1 species